rnacentral:rRNA from 1 species
AUUGAACGCUGCGGCAUGCCUUACACAUGCAAGUCGAACGGUAACAGGUCUUCGGAUGCUGACGAGUGGCGAACGGGUGAGUAAUACAUCGGAACGUGCCUAGUAGUGGGGGAUAACUACUCGAAAGAGUGGCUAAUACCGCAUGAGAUCUACGGAUGAAAGCAGGGGAUCGCAAGACCUUGUGCUACUAGAGCGGCCGAUGGCAGAUUAGGUAGUUGGUGGGAUAAAAGCUUACCAAGCCGACGAUCUGUAGCUGGUCUGAGAGGACGAUCAGCCACACUGGGACCGAGACACGGCCCAGACUCCUACGGGAGGCAGCAGUGGGGAAUUUUGGACAAUGGGCGCAAGCCUGAUCCAGCAAUGCCGCGUGCAGGAUGAAGGCCUUCGGGUUGUAAACUGCUUUUGUACAGAACGAAAAGCCCUGGGUUAAUACCCUGGGGUCAUGACGGUACCGUAAGAAUAAGCACCGGCUAACUACGUGCCAGCCGCCGCGGUAACAC